AGAGUUUGAUCCUGGCUCAGGAUGAACGCUGGCGGCGUGCUUAACACAUGCAAGUCGAACGAAGCACUUUUAUUUGAUUUCUUCGGAAUGAAGAUUUUAGUGACUGAGUGGCGGACGGGUGAGUAACGCGUGGGUAACCUGCCUCAUACAGGGGGAUAACAGUUAGAAAUGACUGCUAAUACCGCAUAAGACCACAGCACCGCAUGGUGCAGGGGUAAAAACUCCGGUGGUAUGAGAUGGACCCGCGUCUGAUUAGGUAGUUGGUGGGGUAACGGCCUACCAAGCCGACGAUCAGUAGCCGACCUGAGAGGGUGACCGGCCACAUUGGGACUGAGACACGGCCCAAACUCCUACGGGAGGCAGCAGUGGGGAAUAUUGCACAAUGGGGGAAACCCUGAUGCAGCGACGCCGCGUGAGUGAAGAAGUAUUUCGGUAUGUAAAGCUCUAUCAGCAGGGAAGAAAAUGACGGUACCUGACUAAGAAGCACCGGCUAAAUACGUGCCAGCAGCCGCGGUAAUACGUAUGGUGCAAGCGUUAUCCGGAUUUACUGGGUGUAAAGGGAGCGUAGACGGAGUGGCAAGUCUGAUGUGAAAACCCGGGGCUCAACCCCGGGACUGCAUUGGAAACUGUCAAUCUGGAGUACCGGAGAGGUAAGCGGAAUUCCUAGUGUAGCGGUGAAAUGCGUAGAUAUUAGGAGGAACACCAGUGGCGAAGGCGGCUUACUGGACGGUAACUGACGUUGAGGCUCGAAAGCGUGGGGAGCAAACAGGAUUAGAUACCCUGGUAGUCCACGCCGUAAACG
rnacentral:rRNA from 1 species